UACGUAGGGUGCGAGCGUUAAUCGGAAUUACUGGGCGUAAAGCGUGCGCAGGCGGUUUUGUACGACAGAGGGGAAAUCCCCGGGCUCAACCUGGGAACUGCCUUUGUGACUGCAAGGCUUGAGUGCGGCAGAGGGGGAUGGAAUUCCGCGUGUAGCAGUGAAAUGCGUAGAUAUGCGGAGGAACACCGAUGGCGAAGGCAAUCCCCUGGGCCUGCACUGACGCUCAUGCACGAAAGCGUGGGGAGCAAACAGG
rnacentral:rRNA from 1 species